rnacentral:rRNA from 1 species
CGUAGGGUGCAAGCGUUAAUCGGAAUUACUGGGCGUAAAGGGUGUGUAGGUUGCUUACUAAGACUGUCUGUUAAAACCUGAGGCUUAACCUUAGAGAGCGGCGGUAACUGGUAGGCUAGAGUAUGGAAGAGGAGGGCAGAAUUCCGUGUGUAGCAGUGAAAUGCGUAGAUACUCGGAGGAAUACCGAAGGCGAAGGCAGCCCUCUGGGCCAAUACUGACACUCAAACACGAAAGCGUGGGGAGCAAACAGGAUU